UACGAAGGGGCUAGCGUUGCUCGGAAUCACUGGGCGUAAAGCGCACGUAGGCGGCUUCUUAAGUCAGGGGGUGAAAUCCUGGAGCUCAACUCCAGAACUGCCUUUGAUACUGAGAGACUUGAGUCCGGGAGAGGUGAGUGGAACUGCGAGUGUAGAGGUGAAAUUCGUAGAUAUCCGCAAGAACACCAGUGGCGAAGGCGGACUCACUGGCC
rnacentral:rRNA from 1 species